rnacentral:SRP_RNA from 1 species
GCGGGAGUCGGUCGGACGUUUGCGCUCGCCAACCUGGUCAGGUCCGGAAGGAAGCAGCCACAACGGGUUGCGGCGGGUCGGUCGGCUCCUAUUUC